rnacentral:rRNA from 1 species
AUUGAACGCUGGCGGCAGGCUUAAUACAUGCAAGUCGAACGGUAACACGCAGGAAGCAAUUCCUGUGGUGACGAGUGGCGGACGGGUGAGUAAAGUUUGGGAAUCUGUCCUUCAGAGGGGGAUAGCAGCUGGAAACGGCUGAUAAAACCGCAUACGCUCUGAGGAGGAAAGUGACGGGACCGGCGACGGCCGUCAGCUGAAGGGUGAGCCCAAAUGGGAUUAGCUAGUAGGGGAGGUAAAGGCUCACCUAGGCGACGAUCUCUAGCUGGUUUUAGCGGAUGACCAGCCACAUUGGAACUGAGACACGGUCCAAACUCCUACGGGAGGCAGCAGUAGGGAAUAUUGCACAAUGGGGGGAACCCUGAUGCAGCCAUGCCGCGUGUGUGAAGAAGGCCUUCGGGUUGUAAAGCACUUUUACUGCGGAGAAGGGUUGAUGCAAUAACAAGGCAUUAACCGGAUGUUACGCAGGGAAUAAGAACCGGCAAACUCCGUGCCAGCAGCCGCGGUAAUACGGAGGGUUCGAGCGUUAAUCGGAAUGACUGGGCGUAAAGGGCUGGUAGGUGGCUUUGUGAGUCGGCAGUGAAAU